GAUGAACGCUGGCGGCGUGCUUAACACAUGCAAGUCGAACGGGAAAUAUUUCAUUGAGACUUCGGUGGAUUUGAUCUAUUUCUAGUGGCGGACGGGUGAGUAACGCGUGGGUAACCUGCCUUAUACAGGGGGAUAACAGUCAGAAAUGGCUGCUAAUACCGCAUAAGCGCACAGAGCUGCAUGGCUCAGUGUGAAAAACUCCGGUGGUAUAAGAUGGACCCGCGUUGGAUUAGCUUGUUGGCGGGGUAACGGCCCACCAAGGCGACGAUCCAUAGCCGGCCUGAGAGGGUGAACGGCCACAUUGGGACUGAGACACGGCCCAGACUCCUACGGGAGGCAGCAGUGGGGAAUAUUGCACAAUGGGGGAAACCCUGAUGCAGCGACGCCGCGUGAAGGAAGAAGUAUCUCGGUAUGUAAACUUCUAUCAGCAGGGAAGAUAGUGACGGUAC
rnacentral:rRNA from 1 species